UCUGUGCUGCGUGUGACGUCUUGUUGAAUACGGCUCAAGAUGAGCAGAAUGAAGGUAAAUCUCCAAGUCCCACAGUCAGAGCUCAAGACUGUGAGGCAGGACUUCAUUCCUUGAUGAAUGCGGCUCAACUGCUAACAGGAUAAGAAGACACGAACCAGGAGAAGUUGGACGCCUUUUAGAAUUUCCUCUCGUACCGCUAUGUGUCAUGGGUGGAGGGGAGCGAGGCUGCCAUCUCCGAAGACAACACGCCUCUGAGUGUGCGCCUCCUAGUUUGUGCGGCAAUGUUCCCCGUGUUCAAUGAGAAAAUUCAAUGCCCCAGCGCUCAGAACUCCCAGCUAGUAUUGACGCAAUAGCUCUCCCAAAUGUCGACCGGAAAGUCGUUAAAAAAAUCGUUGCGACGAUCGGCUCGACAAGCUGAAGACCGCGCCAGUGAAUGCAUGUGAAACGGCACCUCUACUCUCCCAUCGCCAGGCCCAAAGACGUGUUGUUCAUAGGUGUCUUUCACAAUACUAGUGUUGCUGAUCGCGGAGGACCACUGUCCACUGCUCGCCCGCCGUGGUGUUA